UCGUCUCCUGGACAGGCAAGGAGAAGGCAAUGCUUUUUCCCUGGAAAUAGCUCAGCAACAGUAUCCUUCAGUGAAAGGAAUUUUCACCUCUGGAAAGUUAACACCGUUUUAAUCCCAGGGCCACGGUUUCAAAAGGUCUUAAAAAACAUAGCAACAAUACAUUCCAACACUUCCCUCUGAUUAUGAGAAAGCACCCAGCCCUCCAAGCCUAGAAUCAUCUUUCAGGAUUCCCAGCAAUUAUUUGAGGAAUGGCUGCAUUCUCAGUAAUCCUCCUACAGUGACAGAAGAUGAUCAAAUAAGAAGUUAGCUGGAAGCUGGAAACUGCAUUCAGUUUCUAGCACUGACAAAGUCUUCCUGUAUGACCCAGGGUAAGUCACGCAAUCUUUUUAACACUCAGUUCCUCAUCUGUGCUUUGAGUAUGUCAAAAAAUGAAGUAUUUUUAUUUGUGUGUUUCUCUCCCUGAAAAAGUAUCUCUAAUACCACAUCUGCUGAGUGCAUCCUGGUCCACAGCACAUUCAUUAAUAUUUUCUCUGUGAAUCACACGGUAAAAAUCAGUCUGAGUAACCACACUCUAUCCACAAAAUUUUUUAACAUCUUGAGUACACCAACAAGGAACCGAUGUAGUCCUCAGCUCCCAGUCAAUAAGCCCAUGUACCCAUGGUAGGUGGUAGCAACCUGAUGAAAGUUUUACCAGUCAUAUUCUUGGUUUUAUAAUGAGGAAAUAACUCUUAAUUAGAGCAGUUCUAGGAAAGAGGAACUGUUGUCAGACAUGUUCUAAUUACACAGCAAGUUGGAUGUAAAUGUGAGGGAGCAACAGUGCUGUGAGCAGUAUUCUUCUGGGUGAAAAAAUACUGUUGCAGAAAUUACAGCAGUGGCCCUCACCAAGCUUUACAGCUUCUAAGACAUGUAUUUAAAAAGCAUAUAAAGAUGUGUAUAUAAAAAGCAUAUUGGAGCCAUGCCACACAAGGUCUUCUCCUUGUCUAUUCUAAAAUGUAAAUAAUAAAAUGCACAGCUGGAGGAGCAAUACAAACCUUCUUCAGAGUCACGCCUUGCCACCCGUCUUUUUGAGGAACAACCAGAAUAGAAACAAAAAUAGAUAAGGCCUUGACUGAAGAUGCUGUUUGAAGACAUUAGCAAGAUUUGUGAUUUGAUGAAUGUCAUGAAAUAGAAAACAAAAGCAAACCAUUGAAUUUCAAGCCCUUUUUCUGUAUUUAAAAAGGCAAGAACCAAUUUUUCUCUGUAUUUCAUGUUUUCAGGCAUCCAGGGUUCUCUUGCUUGAAACUGUCUCAUCUUCAGGAUUAUGUGACCAAUAUACAAUGAGCACUUUUUUCUGUUUCUAUUUAAUUUGUGGAAUUGCCUGAAGGGAGAUCACAGUUUCCUCGCAAUUACUUCAUGUUUUGUUUAUUCUCUGAGCUGACUGUGAAUAUCCUAAAUUUGCUGACUGUGAAGGUCCUGUGGUUCUGAGCUGAGACCAGUUAUAAGAGUUAUAUCGAAGAAGUGAGGGACUAAUCCUGAAAGGGAAACCUUUUGGAAGCAUCUCAGAGAUUUUCUUUUUCCCUUUACUAACAUGGCUUCCCACAAUUAUAGGAUGACUGAUUGUGUGGCAUUAAUCUGGUUGCAUAGUCUUCAUCUUCACCCCACAAUUGAAACCUACUGAUACAGCCUCCAACCCAUCUUAGAAGGCCAGUGAUAUCUACCAUAAAUUCCUACAUGAGAAUAAGUAAUAUCUAGCAAUAUAUUUAUUUUCUACUUUUAUUAAAAAUAUUAAAAAAUAAAAAUUAACCUAUGCUUA